rnacentral:rRNA from 1 species
UACGUAGGGCGCAAGCGUUAUCCGGAAUUAUUGGGCGUAAAGAGCUCGUAGGCGGUUUGUCGCGUCUGCCGUGAAAGUCCGGGGCUCAACUCCGAUCUGCGGUGGGUACGGGCAGGCUAGAGUUCGGUAGGGGAGACUGGAAUUCCUGGUGUAGCGGUGAAAUGCGCAGAUAUCAGGAGGAACACCUGUGGCGAAAGGCG